GGCUGCAGCUGUGAUGUACAUGAGCCUGGAACCUUCCUCUACCUCCCCUGGCUGCAGCUGUGAUGCGGGUGUGGGCUGCAGCAGGAACAGUGGCCUUCACCCAUUCAUGCACCCAGCGCCAUUCCUAGUCCUGAGACCCACAAAACCCACUGACAAGGUGCAGCUCUCGUUCUCAGAGACAAAGGCCUUGGAGAGGACAUGGGAGCCUGGACAGAAAUGCCUCGGGUGCGUGUGGAGUCCAAAAUAGAACGUCUAGACAAACUCCUACUGUCUGACCUUUGAUGUGCUUCCUCAUCCACCCGGCCGUGCCAAGCA